GAAGAUUAAGUAGAGGAAACUUGACCUUUACGGCCUGGUACAGUGCUGCAGCAACUGCCUUAGAUAGCUUCUCACUGGCAGGGAAGCCACACCCACCUUAGUCUACAGUUCACCUGUUUAGAAGGCAUAUCUGCACUUAGGAGAGGAACUGUCUUGUCCAAUAAAUUUUCAGGUAUGUCUUCAGUUGCCUGAGACAUGGGCAGAAUGAUGUAAU
rnacentral:lncRNA from 1 species